rnacentral:lncRNA from 1 species
CUUUAUUAUUCACUCCAUUCCAUACAUAGUUUUGGUGAUGAACAUUGAUUAUUGUACAUUCAAUUUUUCUUAUGAAUUUCAUUGGAAUUUCCGUUUGGCACCACAUCUACAUGACAGCCCUCCGCAUCUUAGAUAUUGAGAAUUAUUCAUAUUUAUGGAAAAUCAAAGAUAUAGGUAUCAAAUAAUAGAAAGUCAAAGAUAUGGGUAUCAAAUAUUGGAAAGUCAAAGAUAUGGGUAUCAAAUAUUAGAAAGUCAAAGAUAUGGGUAUCGAGAUAUUGGCAUAAUAAAAUCUGAAUAUUUGCAAUAUAUGGUCCCUAAUUGUAAAGUGACUUUGCAAGUUGAUCCCUGAACCUCAACUAUAAAUAGGCAUAACCAUCUCUCAUUCUGUAUCUCAAACUUGCCAUUCUCUACUUAAGGCAUUGUUUUCUCUCUCUCUCUUUGUAAAUUCUCACUUGUAUUUUGGAGUGAAAUAUAUUUGGUAGUGCCCGAGGACGUAGGCAAAAUUUGCUGAACCUCGUUAAAUUCUUGUGUUCUUUAUUGUAUUAUUCUGCAUGAAUUGUGUGUGUGAUUGUAGUGAUUUAUUGUGCUAUUAAAUUACGAUUGAGGGAUAUUCUGGCUAGGAAAGACCUGGUACUUAAGCGAUCCUUGUGAUCCACCUCUCUUUCCUGGGAAUUGAACUUAGUGUGAUUUUUUAGUACAAUAAUUUUACUCUUUUACACGCUUCCGCACAACAAUUGGUAUCAGAGCUAGAUUCGUACUUGGGGAAUACGAUCGUUCACGGCACUGUUCACGUACUGUAGUUGGGAUUGAGGAGAAAAAAAUGGAAAAGUCAUCGUCAAAGACUACUGUGACCAAUGCGAAAUUUGAAGUAGAGAAAUUUGAUGGUACCAAUAAUUUUGGUAUGUGGCAAUGUGAGAUCCUGGAUGUCUUAUGUCAGCAAGAGCUGGAUAUAGCCCUUGAAGAAAAACCUGACAAGAUGGAUGACAAGGAGUGGGCCAAGAUCAAUAGACAGGCAUGUGGAACAAUUCGCCUAUGUUUGGCCAAAGAGCAGAAGUACUCUGUCAUGAGGGAGACAUCAGCGAAGAAGUUGUGGGAUACACUGGAAGAAAAGUUUCUAACAAAAAGUCUUGAAAAUAGGCUUUAUAUGAAAAAGAAACUUUAUCGAUUCAUGUAUGCACCCGGUAUGUCGAUGAAUGACCAUGUGAACUCAUUCAAUAAAAUUUUAGCAGACUUGCUAAAUUUGGAUGAGAAAUUUGAAGAUGAAGACAAGGCAUUACUGUUGUUGAAUUCUCUUCCUGAUGAAUAUGAUCAUCUUACCACCACAUUGCUUCAUGGGAAGGAUACAAUCACAUUUGAUGCAGUCUGUAGUGCGUUGUAUAGAUCUGAGACUCGAAAGAAAGAUAAAAAAGAUCACAGAGAUACAACUACAUAAGUCUUAACAGUAAGAAGUCGUUCGCGCAGCAACAAAUCUGGUAGAAGGAGUAAGUCCAAAGGGAGACCUGCCAAAGAUGAAUGUGCUUUUUGUCGUGAGAAAGGGCAUUGGAAAAAGAAUUGUCCUAAGUUACAAAAGGGUAAAGCUAUUUCUGAUGCAUGUGUAGUGGAGCAUGAUGAGGAGUCAGACUUUAGCUUGGUUGGCAUGGCAAUGGCAUGUCAUACAGAUGAGUGGAUUUUGGAUUCAGGAUGUACUUACCAUAUGUGUCCUAAUAAGGACUGGUUUUCUAGUCUUAAAGAACUAGAAGGUGGAGUUGUUUUUAUGGGCAAUGAUAGCGCUUGUAAGACAAUGGGAGUAGGUAAAAUCCAAUUGAAGAAUCACGACGGCUCAAUUCAAGUCUUGACAGAUGUUCGCUACAUACCUAGCUUGAAGAAAAAUCUUAUCUCAUUAGGGGUCCUAGAAUCUAAAGGGCUCACAAUCACUUUGAGAGAUGGAUUACUAAAGGUAGUAGCUGGGGUAUUGACGGUGAUGAAAGGCACAAGAAGGAAUAAUCUGUACUAUUUAAAUGGAAGUACAGUUAUUGGAUCAACAUUAACAGCUUUUACGAAAGAUGCAGAUUCAGAGGCUACCAGGUUAUGGCAUAUGCGAUUGGGACAUGCUGGUGAAAAAGCUUUGCAGAGUUUGGCGAAGCAAGGCUUGUUGAAAGGUGAAAAUUCUUGCAAAUUGGAAUUCUGUGAACAUUGUGUUCUGGGCAAGCAGACGAGGAUAAAAUUUGGUUCAGCAAUUCACAAUACAAAAGAAAUUCUGGACUACGUUCACAGUGAUGUGUGGGGACCUACUAAAGUGGCUUCUUUGGGAGGUAUGCACUAUUUUGUUACUUUUGUUGAUGAUUAUUCAAGAAAAAUAUGGGUGUAUCUAAUGAAAAGGAAAAAUGAAGUUUUGGAUGUAUUUCUGAAAUGGAAGAAGAUGGUGGAGACCCAGGCUGGUCGAAAAGUCAAACGACUUCGAUCAGACAAUGGUACUGAGUACAAGAAUGAUCCAUUUCUACAAGUAUGUCACGAUGAAGGUAUUGUACGACACUUCACUGUUCGAGAUACACCACAACAGAAUGGGGUGGCAGAACGUAUGAAUCGGACUAUACUGGAGAAAGUUCGAUGUAUGUUGUCCAAUGCUGGAUUGGGCAAAGAAUUUUGGGCUGAGGCAGUUACAUAUGCGUGCCAUCUAAUUAAUCGGUUGCCAUCAGCUGCAAUAAAUGGAAAAACUCCUAUGGAGAGGUGGGCUGGUAAACCUGCUAUUGAUUAUGAUUCUUUACAUAUUUUUGGUUCCACUGCAUAUUAUCAUGUAAAAGAAUCUAAGUUAGACCCAAGAGCAAAGAAAGCAUUAUUCAUGGGUAUAACUGGUGGAGUAAAAAGAUACCGUCUCUGGUGUCCUGAUACAAGGAAAAUAAUUUUCAGUAGAGAUGUGACUUUUGAUGAAUCAACCAUGAUGAAGAAUAAUGAUUCACAAAAGGAUAACACAACCAGUGGCACUUUGCAGCAGGUGGAGCUUGAAAAGGUUAAUGAUGAUCCAGCUAAUAUUGAAGGAACAAAUAAUGAAGAAGUUUCGACCCAAGAACUUCUACAACAAUAUGAUUCAAUUGCAUAUAGAAGGCCAAGAAGAGAGAUUCGUAUGCCUGCUCGCUUUGAUGAUAUGGUGGCCUAUGCACUUCCAAUUGCAGAUGAUGAUGUUCCUUCUACUUACACAGAAGCAAGAAGUAACUCUGAUAGUGUAAAGUGGAAGCAAGCUAUGAAUGAAGAAAUGCAGUCUCUUCAUAAAAAUAGGACUUGGGAGUUGGUGACACUACCUAAAGGAAAGAAGGCAACUGGAUGCAAAUGGGCAUAUGCAAAGAAGGAAGGAUUUCCUGAUAAAAAUGAAGUUCGAUACAAGGCUAGAUUGGUAGCAAAGGGUUACGCUCAGAAAGAAGGAAUAGACUACAAUGAAGUAUUUUCUCCAAUUGUGAAGCAUUCGUCUAUUCGGAUUUUGCUAGCCUUGGUUGCGCAAUAUGAUCUUGAACUAGUUCAGCUCGAUGUGAAGACCGCAUUUUUACACGGUGAUUUGGAAGAGGAAAUCUAUAUGACUCAGCCAGAUGGAUUCAAGGUUGCUGAUAAAGAAAAUUGGGUUUGCAAACUGACAAAGUCGCUUUAUGGAUUGAAACAAUCUCCAAGGCAAUGGUACAAGCGAUUUGAUCAGUUUAUGAAAGGGCAAAGGUAUACAAGAAGUAAAUUUGAUCAUUGCGUGUAUUUUCAGAAGCUACAAGAAGGAUUUUUCGUAUACUUGCUCUUAUAUGUUGAUGAUAUGUUGAUAGCAUCUAAGAGUAAAGUUGAAAUUGAGAGAUUGAAGACUCAACUCAACCUUGAGUUUGAGAUGAAAGAUCUAGGUGAAGCUAAGAAGAUCCUUGGCAUGGAAAUAUGUAGGGAUAGAGCUCAUGGCAGAGUUAGUUUAUCUCAGAAGCAAUAUUUAAAGAAGAUACUACAGAAGUUUGGCAUGAACGAGCAGACUAAAGCUGUAAGUACCCCGUUGGCUUCUCAUUUCAAGCUUUCUACACAACUAUCUCCUUCGACAAAUACGGAACAAGAAUACAUGUUACAAGUUCCAUAUUCUAAUGCAGUAGGUAGCUUGAUGUAUGCAAUGGUGUGUACAAGACCCGACAUUUCACAGGCAGUUAGUAUAGUGAGCAGGUAUAUGCAUAAUCUUGGAAAAGGACAUUGGCAAGCUGUGAAAUGGAUUCUACGGUAUAUUCAUAAGACCAUGGAUAUUGGAUUACUGUUCAAGCAGGAUACUACACUUGGUAAAGGUGUUGUUGGGUACGUUGAUUCUGAUUAUGCCGGUGAUUUGGACAAACGAAGAUCAACCACUGGUUAUGUGUUUACUCUUGCUGGAGGACCAAUAAGUUGGAAGUCUACACUGCAGUCUACAGUUGCGUUGUCAACCACAGAAGCUGAAUACAUAGCUGUAACAGAGGCUGUAAAGGAAGCUAUUUGGUUACAAGGUAUGGUUAAAACCUUGGGAUUGGUCCAGGAGCAUAUUAAUGUGUAUUGUGAUAGUCAAAGUGCUAUUCAUUUAGCAAAGAAUCAAGUCUAUCAUGCACGUACAAAGCAUAUCGAUGUACGUUUCCACUUUGUGCGGGAAAUUAUUGAUGAGGGGAAAAUUCACCUUCAGAAGAUUAAGACUGCAGAUAAUCCCGCAGAUAUGAUGACCAAGGUGGUAACAACAAUCAAGUUCGAACAUUGUUUGAACUUGAUCAAUAUUCUGCAUGUUUAACAGUUGAAGAAGGCACUAUCAAGUGUUGUUGACAAAGGCAGAGAGAAUUGUGUGAAGAUAAGAUUACUCGAAUCAAAUCUUCAAGGUGGAGAUUAUUGAGAAUUAUCCAUAUUUAUGGAAAAUCAAAUAUAUGGGUAUCAAAUAAUAGAAAGUCAAAGAUAUGGGUAUCAAAUAUUGGAAAGUCAAAGAUAUGGGUAUCAAAUAUUGGAAAGUCAAAGAUAUGGGUAUCGAGAUAUUGGCAUAAUAAAAUCUGAAUAUUUGCAAUAUAUGGUCCCUAAUUGUAAAGUGACUUUGCAAGUUGAUCCCUGAACCUCAACUAUAAAUAGGCAUAACCAUCUCUCAUUCUGUAUCCCAAACUUGCCAUUCUCUACUUAAGGCAUUGUUUUCUCUCUCUCUCUUUGUAAAUUCUCACUUGUAUUUUGGAGUGAAAUAUAUUUGGUAAUGCCCGAGGACGUAGGCAAAUUUUGCUGAACCUCGUUAAAUUCUUGUGUUCUUUAUUGUAUUAUUCUGCAUGAAUUGUGUGUGUGAUUGUAGUGAUUUAUUGUGCUAUUAAAUUACGAUUGAGGGAUAUUCUGGCUAGGAAAGACCUGGUACUUAAGCGAUCCUUGUGAUCCACCUCUCUUUCCUGGGAAUUGAACUUAGUGUGAUUUUUUAGUACAAUAAUUUUACUCUUUUACACGCUUUCACACAACAUUAGAGGUCAGAAAAAAUGGGAUAUUAUUUUCUCCAUCUUUUUAUAAACAUUUUAAUGCUAAAAUCUAAUAGGCAAAAGCCUGGUUUAUGUUUUUACAGGUUAGAUCUGCAUAUUGCAAACGUGAUUUCGAGUGGGA